rnacentral:rRNA from 1 species
CCUACGGGAGGCAGCAGUGAGGAAUAUUGGUCAAUGGGCGUAAGCCUGAACCAGCCAAGUCGCGUGAGGGAUGAAGGUGCUAUGGAUCGUAAACCGUUUUUAUAAGGGAAUAAAGUGCGGGACGUGUCCCGUUUUGUAUGUAACUUAUGAAUAAGGAUCGGCUAAACCCGUGCCAGCAGCCGCGGCAAUACGGAGGAUGCGAGCGUUAUCCGGAUUUAUAGGGUUUAAAGGGUGCGUAGGCGGAAUGCCAAGUCAGCGGUAAAAUCGCGGGGCUCAACCUCGCUCCGCCGUUGAAACUGGCGUGCUGGAGUGGGCGAGAAGUAUGCGGAAUGCUUGGUGUAGCGGUGAAAUGCAUAGAUAUCACGCAGAACUCCGAUUGCGAAGGCAGCAUACCGGAGCCCAACUGACGCUGAAGCACGAAAGCGUGGGUAUCGAACAGGAUUAGAUACCCCAGUAGUC